rnacentral:tRNA from 1 species
GGCAAGGUGGCCGAGUGGUUAAGGCGGCGUGUUUAAGCCACGCUGGAGCGAUCCUCCUGGGUUCGAACCCCAGUCUUGCCA